AUUUUGAGAUCAGUGAGGAUGACCACCCACGCACGGUCACUCACGCCGGCAAUAACUGAUGAACUUUAGACUUCGCUAAGGGGCGGACCAUUAGAAAAGUGAUGGGGGAGGGGCAAAAGCAAAAAUAAAAAUCGAGCAGGGGAAACAGAAAAAAAAAUCGUGCACCAGAAAAGUUUGAAAAACAAAUUUGUGCAGAGACUUUUCAAUAGGGAAAAUUAUAAGUUGACAG